CGCCCGGUCCCAUUCCGAACCCGGAAGCUAAGCCUGCCAGCGCCGAUGGUACUGCACUCGACAGGGUGUGGGAGAGUAGGACACCGCCGAAC
rnacentral:rRNA from 1 species